AUGCGUCAGAGCCCUGGGAAGGCACUGGAAUACGUCGCGGGGAUCAGCAGCAGUGGCGGCACCGACUAUGCACCUGCGGGGGGGACCUCCAGCCCCCCGGGGGGGUCCCUGACUCUGCUCUGCCGCGGGUCUGGGUUCGAUUUUGGGAGUUACGGAAUGUUCUGGAUCCGCCAGAGCCCUGGGAAGCCACUGGAAUACGUUGGGAGUAUCAACAGCAAUGGUGGCAGCAUGUACUAUGCACCGUCGGUCAAGGGCCGGUUCACGAUCUCCAGGGACAACGGGCAGAGCUCGGUGACGCUGACCAUGAACAACCUCAAGGACGAGGAUUCCGCCGUUUAUUUCUGCGGCAAACGUGAUAAUGGUAAUGCUGGUGCUGAUGCCAUUGCUGGUUCCGACCCACCCCAGCUGCUCUGA